rnacentral:lncRNA from 7 species
UGGGAGCGGGACUGAGCUCUCGCUGACCAAUAAGAGGUCGGCACUGACCGGUGUUGAGCUGGGAGCAGAGCGGACCCUCCCCCAAAGCAGCGGCAGCAGCGGGGAAGGGGCUCCAAGAAGCAGAGAAUGAUAAAUAAGCGGCCUGUGGGGAUAGGAUGGAGCUGCCACUGACCAAUGAGAAGCAAGCAGGAGUGGGACGGAGCUCCUGCUGACCAAUAAGAGGCCGGCACGGCCCAUCGCUGAGAUGGGAGCAGAGUGGAGACCUUGCAAAGCAGGGCUGCAAGGCUGCAAUACGUGGGUGGUGGGACAGCCUUGGGCUUCUGCGUUUGCAUUAAUCCCACGUUUCCUUUCUCUGCCUUGCAGCUCUGCUGGUGCUGGAAGUGGACGGUAUUGCAGUCUGAAUGAAAGGAGCAGCUGCUGAUGGGAGGCAGGAAGUCCAGGCUCCAUGAACGCUGAGGCAUCUGCCAGUACGGCACCAGAGGAGGCAGUAGUGACGCUGGGGGGCAGUUGCAGAAGAAGAUGAGGAGUUCCCCAGCAGGAAGCCACAACCCGGCAGGACCUGCAGGGGAAUCGCAGCAUGUGUGGGUGGCCCAGGAGGAAAUGCAGCCCCAGGGUCUGAGCAGCGCCUGGCCAUGGAGUGCUGCGGCCCAAGAACAGCGCUAUUCUGCCCUUGCCGAGAUGGCUUUCCAAGGAGGACUUGUCUGUGGGGGUUAUUUGGGUUAUGUGGGCUCGUUGGGGUCUGUCCUCACAAAAACCAGAGGGCUGGCUCAUCCAAAAGCUUGGUGAUUGCUUGGAAGCCCAAACCCUUCUGGCCUCCAGUAACCCCAUUGGCCCCACU